GUUGUAUAGUCAAGUAAUUAAGUGCAUGUGGUGGAUGCCUUGGCAGUCAGAGGCGAUGAAAGACGUGAUAGCCUGCGAAAAGCUCCGGGGGCGGCAAAUAUCCUUUGAUCCGGAGAUGUCUGAAUGGGGGAACCCACCUACUUUAAGGUAGGUAUUGCAACAUGAAUACAUAGUGUUGCAAGGCGAACGAGGGGAAGUGAAACAUCUCAGUACCCUUAGGAAAAGAAAUCAAUUGAGAUUCCCUCAGUAGCGGCGAGCGAACGGGGAUCAGCCCAUUAAGUUAUGUGUGUUUUAGUGGAACGCUCUGGGAAGUGCGAACGUAGAGGGUGAUAUUCCCGUACACGAAAGGGCACACAUAAUGAUGACGAGUAGGGCGAGGCACGUGAAACCUUGUCUGAAUAUGGGGGGACCAUCCUCCAAGGCUAAAUACUCCUGACUGACCGAUAGUGAACCAGUACCGUGAGGGAAAGGCGAAAAGAACCCCUGUGAGGGGAGUGAAAUAGAUCCUGAAACCGCAUGCAUACAAGCAGUGGGAGCACCUUCGUGGUGUGACUGCGUACCUUUUGUAUAAUGGGUCAGCGACUUAUAUUCAGUAGCGAGGUUAACCGUAUAGGGGAGCCGUAGAGAAAUCGAGUCUUAAUAGGGCGUUUAGUUGCUGGGUAUAGACCCGAAACCAGGCGAUCUAUCCAUGAGCAGGUUGAAGGUUGGGUAACACUAACUGGAGGACCGAACCCACUGUCGUUGAAAAGCCAGGGGAUGACUUGUGGAUAGGGGUGAAAGGCUAAUCAAGCCUGGUGAUAGCUGGUUCUCCCCGAAAGCUAUUUAGGUAGCGCCUCGGACGAAUACCAUAGGGGGUAGAGCACUGUUUCGGCUAGGGGGUCAUCCCGACUUACCAAACCGAUGCAAACUCCGAAUACCUAUGAGUACUAUCCGGGAGACAGACUGCGGGUGCUAACGUCCGUAGUCAAGAGGAAAACAAUCCAGACCGCCAGCUAAGGCCCCAAAAUCAUAGUUAAGUGGGAAACGAUGUGGGAAGGCAUAGACAGCUAGGAGGUUGGCUUAGAAGCAGCCACCCUUUAAAGAAAGCGUAAUAGCUCACUAGUCGAGUCGGCCUGCGCGGAAGAUGUAACGGGGCUAAAACUAUGUGCCGAAGCUGCGGAUGUAUACUUUGUAUACGUGGUAGGGGAGCGUUCUGUAAGCCGAUGAAGGUGUGUUGAGAAGCAUGCUGGAGGUAUCAGAAGUGCGAAUGCUGACGUGAGUAACGACAAAACGGGUGAAAAACCCGUUCGCCGAAAGACCAAGGGUUCCAGUCCAACGUUAAUCGGGGCUGGGUGAGUCGACCCCUAAGGCGAGGCCGAAAGGCGUAGUCGAUGGGAAAAUGGUUAAUAUUCCAUUACUUCUGUGUAAUGCGAUGAGAGGACGGAGAAGGCUAAAUCAGCCUGGCGUUGGUUGUCCAGGUGAAAGGAUGUAGGCAUGUAUCUUAGGCAAAUCCGGGGUACUCUAUGCUGAGAUCUGAUAGCAAGCUGUACUUGUACAGCGAAGUGGUUGAUGCCAUGCUUCCAGGAAAAGUCUCUAAGCUUCAGUUACACAGGAAUCGUACCCGAAACCGACACAGGUGGUCAGGUCGAGUAGACCAAGGCGCUUGAGAGAACUCUGCUGAAGGAACUAGGCAAAAUGGUACCGUAACUUCGGGAGAAGGUACGCUGUUGUUGGUGAUGGAACUCGCUUCCUGAGCUGACGACAGCCGCAGAAACCAGGCCGCUGCAACUGUUUAUUAAAAACAUAGCACUCUGCAAACACGAAAGUGGACGUAUAGGGUGUGAUGCCUGCCCGGUGCUGGAAGGUUAAUUGAUGGGGUUAGCGUAAGCGAAGCUCUUGAUCGAAGCCCCAGUAAACGGCGGCCGUAACUAUAACGGUCCUAAGGUAGCGAAAUUCCUUGUCGGGUAAGUUCCGACCUGCACGAAUGGCAUAAUGAUGGCGGCGCUGUCUCCAGCAGAGGCUCAGUGAAAUCGAAAUCGCUGUGAAGAUGCAGUGUACCCGCGGCUAGACGGAAAGACCCCGUGAACCUUUACUGCAGCUUGACACUGAACUUUGACCUUACUUGUGUAGGAUAGGUGGGAGGCUUUGAAGCUGGAACGCUAGUUCCAGUGGAGCCGUCCUUGAAAUACCACCCUGGUAAUGUUGAGGUUCUAACUCUGUCCCGUGAUCCGGGACGAGGACCGUGUCUGGUGGGUAGUUUGACUGGGGCGGUCUCCUCCUAAAGAGUAACGGAGGAGUACGAAGGUGCGCUCAGCGUGGUCGGAAAUCACGCGUAGAGUAUAAAGGCAAAAGCGCGCUUAACUGCGAGACCCACAAGUCGAGCAGGUACGAAAGUAGGUCUUAGUGAUCCGGUGGUUCUGUAUGGAAGGGCCAUCGCUCAACGGAUAAAAGGUACUCUGGGGAUAACAGGCUGAUACCGCCCAAGAGUUCAUAUCGACGGCGGUGUUUGGCACCUCGAUGUCGGCUCAUCUCAUCCUGGGGCUGAAGCAGGUCCCAAGGGUAUGGCUGUUCGCCAUUUAAAGAGGUACGCGAGCUGGGUUUAGAACGUCGUGAGACAGUUCGGUCCCUAUCUACCGUGGGCGCUGGAAAUUUGAGAGGAUCUGCUCCUAGUACGAGAGGACCAGAGUGGACGAACCUCUGGUGUACCGGUUGUGACGCCAGUCGCAUCGCCGGGUAGCUAUGUUCGGAAGGGAUAACCGCUGAAAGCAUCUAAGCGGGAAGCCUACCUCAAGAUAAGAUUUCCCUAGGACUUUAUGUCCUCUAAAGAGCCGUUCGAGACUAGGACGUUGAUAGGUUGGAUGUGGAAGCAUAGUGAUAUGUGAAGCUGACCAAUACUAAUUGCUCGUGAGGCUUGACUAUACAACACCCAAGCAGUUG
rnacentral:rRNA from 1 species